rnacentral:rRNA from 1 species
UGAGCAAUCUGCCCUUCUCAUCGGAAUAAGCGCUGGAAACGACGUCUAAUGCCGAAUACGACCUCCUUUCGCAUGAUCGGAGGUGGAAAGCUCCGGCGGAGAAGGAUGAGCUCGCGGCCUAUCAGCUAGUUGGUGUGGGUAAUGGCCCACCAAGGCGACGACGGGUAGCCGGCCUGAGAGGGUGACCGGCCACACGUGGGACUGAGACACGGCCCAGACCUCCGUAGGGAGG